UUCCAGACUCCUACGGGAGGCAGCAGUGAGGAAUAUUGGUCAAUGGUCGGGAGACUGAACCAGCCAAGUCGCGUGAGGGAAGACUGCCCUAUGGGUUGUAAACCUCUUUUGUCAGGGAGCAAUUGGCGCUACGUGUAGCGUUAUCGAGAGUACCUGAAGAAAAAGCAUCGGCUAACUCCGUGCCAGCAGCCGCGGUAAUACGGAGGAUGCGAGCGUUAUCCGGAUUUAUUGGGUUUAAAGGGUGCGUAGGCGGAAUGCCAAGUCAGCGGUAAAAUCGCGGGGCUCAACCUCGCUCCGCCGUUGAAACUGGCGUUCUUGAGUGGGCGAGAAGUAUGCGGAAUGCGUGGUGUAGCGGUGAAAUGCAUAGAUAUCACGCAGAACUCCGAUUGCGAAGGCAGCAUACCGGCGCCCAACUGACGCUGAAGCACGAAAGCGUGGGUAUCGAACAGGAUUAGAUACCCCAGUAU
rnacentral:rRNA from 1 species